rnacentral:lncRNA from 1 species
AAAUUGGACAGUAGUGACACAGACACUGUACUUACCAAGGAUUGGUUUGCAACUGUAUCCCACAGGCAAACCCAUCAUAGACAACAACACAGAUGCCAUCUAUGGGAGCAGAAAGACCAUCUGUGUGAUCAGCCGCUGCUACCGGAGAGUGAGUGGUGCUCCAGAGAGAUCCAGGUGGCCAGAUAGCGGCGAUAAUUGUUUCUCCUGCGGUUGGAAACCUAGGAAGCACUUUUCCCUGGGAGGAAAUGGAAACCAGUGGCUAUAACAUGUCAGCGGUGGUGUUUGGAGGAAUAAUAUACAUUAGGGUUAUGAGGGUUUAUAGCCACACACACGUCUGGUUUAUCCUGAG